AUAUCAGUCAUGCAUAGCAUAUCAAUAAGCGGAGGAAAAGAAACUAACAAGGAUUCCCUUAGUAACGGCGAGUGAAGCGGGAAGAGCUCAAAUUUGAAAUCUUCAAGGUUUUACCUUGACGAAUUGUAGUUUAAAGAAGUGUUUUCUGUUGAAGUUUUGGUAAAAGUUCUUUGGAAUAGGACAUCAUAGAGGGUGAGAAUCCCGUAUUUGACCAUUACUUUCAGCUUUGUGAUACACUUUCAAAGAGUCGGAUUGUUUGGGAAUGCAGUCCAAAAUGGGUGGUAAAUUUCAUCUAAAGCUAAAUAUUGGCGAGAGACCGAUAGCGAACAAGUACCGUGAGGGAAAGAUGAAAAGAACUUUGAAAAGAGAGUUAAACAGUACGUGAAAUUGUCAAAAGGGAAGCGUUUGACACCAGUGUUGUUUUCUCGAAAAUCAAUUAAAAAGAGUUGGAUUUUGUGUUGUAUUGACUUUAUCAGCUUUCUUCACUCUUUUCCAGCUUUUUUUAAUGCACUUUUCGUUUAACAAGUCAACAUCAGUUUCUUUUGUUGUAAAAAGGUCAUUGGAAGGCGGCUUUCUCUUCGGAGAAAGUGUUUAUAGCCUUUGACUCAUGCAAUCGGAGAGACUGAGGUCUGCAGCGUAGAUCCUUCGGGGUUAGAUACAUUUGUGCUAAGUUAUAGCUUUUCAUAGACAACUUGUUGACUAUGUUUAGUCUUGUAGCUUACUCGCUUAUGCUAUUUUACCUACGCUUAGGAUGUUGAACUCUAUCACACACAG
rnacentral:rRNA from 1 species